GGCAUGCCCUGCGGCGCCUGCCUCCUUUCCCUCCUUCCUGGUGGGGGCGUGGUGAUGUAACAGAGGUGACAGAGGACUGUCUUCUUACACAACAAAGAACAGAAUUGUUACUUUGGACCAAGAAUCCUGCCUGACUAUUCUCUAGCAAAGAGUUAUGUAUUGGAAGAUGCAUGUGAUGUGGCUCUGUAGAUCUGGUGUUCAGUUCCUGCUAUUGCCCGCACUCUAGAGGUAAUUACUGAUAACAUUGUUAUGAUCAUUAGGACCAAACUGAUAAAUACUUAACAAAGGACAUUUUCUUCCUUACUCCCUGAAUUAUUUUGCACAAUAAAAGGCCACCACGUUCUGAUUAUCCUCAUUUAAUCUGCAGUUUUUAUUGGUCCCUGUUCUGUAAAUGCAAGCAGCGUUAAGUGCUAAUACUUCAAAUCUAGAAGGCCAUCCGUGAAGAAUGUUUGUCUUAUAGAAAAAGACAUCAGGCAGGAUGACUGCAUGUCAUUGUAAUGGUGACAAGAUUCUACUGAUUCAUUUGUCCAUUUUACCAUGUAGGGUUUUAGUGAAAGCUGUAAUAAUAUUGCACAUUGGGAUCUUUUUAUAAAAUUAGUUGGAUUUUUGGAUGAUGCUGGUUAAUUAAAUUACGCAGUAUGUAAAAUCCUGAAUGUAAAGACAUCUUUUCUGAUUGUUUCUAAUUCACAAUAAUGACAUGCAAAGUUGAACGUUGGGAGAGAGUAAAAAGAAGCUGUUGGACAUCUGCAGCCAUUAACAAACUGUAAAAAGACAAAUGGUUGCAUGCAAACAAGUUUGUGCUUUCAAGCUCCAAGGAAGUUGUGUACCACUCCCAGCAGCUAGUCUAUCCCUCUGCUUCUCUUUCUGUUCCACCCCACCUCUUGUUCCCUGUCAGUGUAGUGGUGCAAAGCAAAAAACAGACACACGGACAAUAUAGAUGAUUAUCCAGAUUGCAGAGUCUGAUGCAGCAGAGGUGAAACGUUGUUUUCUGUUUGGCAUUAGAAUUCUAUUCCCAAACAUUCCUCCCACUCUUGGCUGAGUUUGGAGAUAGCAAAAUGUUGCUAAUUCACCUUUGAGUGGGACAUCUGGGUCUGUGGUAGGGGUGACUCUUGUGGCAAUUUAGUGAAAGAGUUAAGUGGGCUCUGAGUUUUGGAUAGGGGUCUUCAAGCCAUGAUUUUGGGUCUGGAUAUGUCCUGCGUCUCUUCAACUCUACAAAAUCCUGGAUUUCGGGGUCGGUUGUGGUCAAUGGGUGAGUGGUAGGAUCAUAUCAUCCAACUUCUCAUGGCAGCUGCAGACCAAGCAAGCUCUCCCAGAGAGCCCUGUACUGUACAUAACAGUUCUGCAUGCCCUGAAGUUCCAUUGCCUUAUUUCAGCAGCGGUUAAGCAUCUCAUUUGAGAGUCCUUGUCUAGCAUUUGUUUGGACACGACUUAGAGAGCUGUCCUGAAUGACUGCAAGUGAGCAUGUACCUGUACCUCUCCUCGGAGGCAAACAAUGUCUAACCUCUCUGUAUAGUACCAUGCUGAAGUGUGAAGUUAAGUCUUCAAAAUAAUCAAGAAUAUUGUACAGAGAUGGAAGCUCCCUAUAAUGUGGAAUCAGGAAAUGCAGCAUACCAGCAUUUAAACCAGGAAGUGACCUCCAGCCAGGGGGACACUAACAACAGAGUGUGCCCAGAUAAAUGGACAAGUAGCCAACAAAAUGGUGUGGAACACCAGCAUGGUGUAUACAGCAAUUACUUUGAGAUGGAGAUGUAUCCAAUUCUGCUUCGUUGUGGGUGAAUUCAUACCACAUUUUAAUGAAGCUGCUUCCUAAAUGAAUUUAAUAAUUUGCAUUAAAGUACCAGGUUGUUCACCAAAGAAGAAAAAACAUUCUUUGUGAAUACAAGACUCUUAAGUGUGAAAUAAUUUGAAUUACCACACAAAGACUUUCAAAUGUAGAACUCUGGUAGUUGGUGAGAUUUCAUCCAUUUGUUCUUUGAUGCUAGGGUUCAAGAUAGUAGCAAUGGAAGAAAAUUGUACCUUCCCAGUUGUGGAACUGUGGAGGACCAUUUCAUCCCAUUGUUCGCUGGCUGUCCCUUAAGUAUGGUGACAGCUGGGAAAGAGCUAGGGCACAGAGCCCACCUAACUCCCUUAAGGGAGCCUAUAUAUGUGCAGCAAGGCUGCUCCAACACUGCAGUUACAGCAUGUCGGAGCGGACUUGAUUGAGUGAAAAAUGCUGGCAGGGCCACUUUAACUAUAGGUCAUUUGAUGAGCUUUAGUUAAAGCGCCCCCACUGCCAUUUUUC